AAUAGAUACCCUGGUAGUCCACGCCGUAAACGAUGAGUGCUAAGUGUUAGGGGGUUUCCGCCCCUUAGUGCUGCAGCUAACGCAUUAAGCACUCCGCCUGGGGAGUACGGUCGCAAGACUGAAACUCAAAGGAAUUGACGGGGGCCCGCACAAGCGGUGGAGCAUGUGGUUUAAUUCGAAGCAACGCGAAGAACCUUACCAGGUCUUGACAUCCCAUUGACCACUAUGGAGACAUAGUUUUCCCUUCGGGGACAACGGUGACAGGUGGUGCAUGGUUGUCGUCAGCUCGUGUCGUGAGAUGUUGGGUUAAGUCCCGCAACGAGCGCAACCCUUGUUCUUAGUUGCCAUCAUUUAGUUGGGCACUCUAAGGAGACUGCCGGUGACAAACCGGAGGAAGGUGGGGAUGACGUCAAAUCAUCAUGCCCCUUAUGACCUGGGCUACACACGUGCUACAAUGGACGGUACAAACGGUUGCCAACCCGCGAGGGGGAGCUAAUCCGAUAAAACCGUUCUCAGUUCGGAUUGUAGGCUGCAACUCGCCUACAUGAAC
rnacentral:rRNA from 1 species